rnacentral:pre_miRNA from 1 species
GUAAUACUCCCUCCAUCCGGAAUUACUUGUCACAGAAAUGGAUGAAAAUGGAUGUAUCUAGAACUAAAAUACAUCCAUUUUUCUGACAAGUAUUUCCGGACGGAGGGAGUAAUAU